AUUGAACGCUGGCGGAAUGCUUUACACAUGCAAGUCGAACGGCAGCACGGACUUCGGUCUGGUGGCGAGUGGCGAACGGGUGAGUAAUAUAUCGGAACGUGCCCAGUCGUGGGGGAUAACGUAGUGAAAAUUACGCUAAUACCGCAUACGAUCUAUGGAUGAAAGCGGGGGAUCGCAAGACCUCGCGCGAUUGGAGCGGCCGAUAUCAGAUUAGGUAGUUGGUGAGGUAAAGGCUCACCAAGCCAACGAUCUGUAGCUGGUCUGAGAGGACGACCAGCCACACUGGAACUGAGACACGGUCCAGACUCCUACGGGAGGCAGCAGUGGGGAAUUUUGGACAAUGGACGCAAGUCUGAUCCAGCCAUUCCGCGUGCAGGACGAAGGCCUUCGGGUUGUAAACUGCUUUUGUACAGAACGAAAAGCUCUGGGUUAAUACCCUGGGGUCAUGACGGUACUGUAAGAAUAAGCACCGGCUAACUACGUG
rnacentral:rRNA from 1 species